CCUAAAACAUAUUCUAACACAUCAGUUCCCUCAUUCUAUUCUUAACGAGUUAUUUCUAUUAAAAACACGUAAACCAACAAUUAACACAUAAUUAAUUAAUUACAUUAAAAACCACAAAUAAAAUAAAUGCAAAUAAUCAAUUAAUUAUUAAUAAUUAAAUUUGGGUCCUUACAACUCUACCCCACUUAAAAGAAUUUUCGCCCUCGAAAAUUGGCUAAAACAAUCUGAACAAGACCACUUCAUCUAGUUUUCCAAUCAAAACAUCCAAAACUCUAGACACUACCAAAGUUUGACAAAAUUAGUCUCAUCCAUUCAACACGAUUUCAUCUACUAUCAACAAGAGAUCAAGGACGACCAAUUCCUCAAUUUGUUAAUAGAUAGACAACAAUCAUGAUGGUGGAAUCAACCAUCUUUACCAAACUAUAAUAGUGCUUCCUUAAACAUGAAACCUCCAUUGAAUAUUAAAUCUAAAGUCCUUUACUUUCCUUAUCAAGUAC
rnacentral:lncRNA from 1 species